rnacentral:rRNA from 1 species
GACGAACCGUGCAAACGUUAUUCGGAAUCACUGGGCGUAAAGCGCGUGUAGGCGGCCCUGCAAGUCGGAUGUGAAAUCCCACGGCUCAACCGUGGAAGUGCAUUCGAAACUGCAGGGCUAGAGUCCUGGAGAGGAAGGUGGAAUGCUUGGUGUAGAGGUGAAAUUCGUAGAUAUCAAGCGGAACACCGGUGGCGAAGGCGGCCUUCUGGACAGUGACUGACGCUGAGACGCGAAAGCGUGGGGAGCAAACAGG